rnacentral:rRNA from 1 species
CAGCCGGCACCUUCCCUCCGAUCGGCCGGUCUCGUCGUCCUCGUUCCUCCGCCCCAGCCGGCACCGUUGACCUUGUCGACGACCAGUCGGACUGUGUGGCGGAGUCGGUACAGAGGAGACUACGUCGGGCCUGCGAGUUCUCUCCAUCAACACGGCAGUGACCACCGCUCAAGUCGCCGGCGGAGGAGGAGAAGAAAAGCUUGGGUCGGGAGAGAACUCACACAGCACGGGAGUUGAUGCCAUUUCGUGGUCCAGGUGCACUCGAGGAGGAAGUUGGGCGUAUACACUAAAGAAGGAAAAGGUACUUACGUGUGUAGAUUUCGCAAAAAAACCCAAGGGAGUAGAUUUACAGAAGACUUCACACGUCUAACAAUAAGUAAUAGUCCCUCCUGUUAUAAGAAAAGUUCCUGAGUAAUCAGGGUCUUAUAAAUCGACCAUUCUAUGUAUAAAAUACUAAGUAGGUAGAGAGGUUAAGACUGGAAUGUAUAGUUGGACAGAGGUACAUGGGAAGAUAUAGACCACGACGAUGAAAAAAAAGAAUGUACCUAUAUACAUACUCUAAAGAAACAAAUCCAUAUAAACACGGACUUUCUUCAAAUGUAGAUAAAAGAACAAUCUACUCGGACUUACUCUUAUGAAUACUCUAGUGUACUUACACUACAACUGCGGGACAUACGAGGUUUUAACAUAGUAAGAAGGGUGUGUUACCAAUCUUAGGGUCAACAACUUAGUGUUAUCUGUUCUGGUAUAAAGUGUAAAACAUAUCAGGUUGGUUAUUAUGUAUACCUCGGACCACUACCAAUAACUAUAUAACACUAUCAUCAAAGGACGUGAUUAAUCAAUUACUCGGUGGGAAAGCAAAAGUUGAGUUUCACGACGUUGUCAAUUUAUCUACACAAGCACGGUAAAUCGGGGUUUUAAGUCAAGUCAAGCCAACAUGUAGAUAACGGCUGGGGAAAAGAAUCAUGACUAACUGGAAAUACACAAUUAUAAAAAUAACUGAAGUAAAAAAGGAAAUCAGGAAGGAGAACCACAUAUUAGGACUAACACACUCAAGGAAAGGACCAUCCAUAAAUACUGAGUCUGGUAAGGUAUUGUUUUACGUAUAUACCGGAGUACGUACAAAUAACGAACGGACACAUAGCAACACAAGAAUAGCCAACAAAAGACACGCAAAGCAUCCUACACGCUAGAGAAGACGGCGAUGCAGAGACAAGCUGAGCGGUUCCAAACAACAAGAGGAAAAAUGUACACACACACAAAAUGAAAGUGAUAGACGAUAUAGUACGAUAGACGGAAGUACUAGCAAAUUUAUAAUAAUACCACAAACGGUACGACUAGCAAAUUUAUAAAGCCUAUGCCGUCCCGUAACACACAACAAGCAAGAGAACGAUGAAUGUCAAGCACAUACGCACACUCGUCCUAGAUACGUGAACAAAGGCAACAAUAUGAACAAAACCUCUGACUCCAUCGAGCCACACGAAACGGCAGCGAAAGCACAGACACACUCCAACAUCUGCUGCCAAGACAAGAACGACCACAUCUUGAGCUCGAGGGUCCCCUGCCAAGACGAGGUCACGGUGUUUCUCUAAAAAAGGCUCGAGCCGAACCACACCAAAAUACUUACCGAUACUCGUCCGACGAGAUGUCCAGAACGCAUAAAACGUUCCAAAUAUACCUGAAAAGCAAGUACUGUUAUUAAUACUUACAUACUACCGGAUAUCCUCUAGAAAGACAAGUUCUUGUAACGCCAAAGAAACUAAGGAUGAUACGAUAAAUGAGUCAGACGUCCGAUCGUAUAAUAAAUCUAAGAAAGAUUGAUUGAAUGAAGCUUCGAGCCAUGACCAGAGGAAGUUCGAUGUUGGGGUUCCGCUCGAGACCACCAGUUCGACUACGAAGAAGCGGAGGACAACUUCUUUUCCUACUAUUCCUACAGCUCCGAGCUCACUGGUCCUUGUUCACCACGACGAAAAAUACGACAGGUAGAUAUAUACGUAGGGAAGUCAAACAUGUCUGUUUUGUUUAUAAGUAAAGACUGAUCUUGAUUUGAACGUCAAUUCUUUGAGACGACGACCUUUCCCUCGACCCCAUGAUUUGUCUUAUAUCAAACUCGGACGGUCAAGAAAAAUUAGGAUACCGUACAUAAAAACGUCGUUAGCAGAAAAUACAGACCAAGGGUUUCAAUAAUCAAUCGGACGGAUAAAGAGCGGCAAACUAUUGGAUAUAAUAUUGAUAUCUCUUAUAUCAAACUCGGAGGUCAAGAAGACGGAACCUAUACUCUAUUACUCCGUCAAAAUUAUAACAGCAUCUAAGUGUACUCAAAUAAAAUUUGAUGACCUACGUAGUAACUGCCUCUUUAUGGAAUGUCUUACUACGACUCGGGGCAGACCUUACCUUGGAAAAACCUCGACGAAUACGAACCACGCCUCGCCCUUCGGAUACUAUCGUUGUCAUAACCUGAGGUAUCUUGACCUUGAGAUAUGGAAAGAAUACAUCGAGAAGGAAAACAACAGAAGGGAUCUUCCCCGACUACAUCAAAAAGACUUAAUGUACAGAGGCGAAACAAGAUGCCGUCUACGAAGAUGAGACCUUACCAUCGUUGUUAUGACCUGAGGUGACUCUUGACCUUGAGAUAUGGAAAGAACACAUCGAGAAGGAAAGCAUCAGAAACGACCUUCCACGUCUACAUCAAAAGGUAAACAAAAACUUUCACGUUGAUAGGGAUCCACCAAAACCAUUAAGUAUUGUUGUAUAUCGAGUAACUCGAUUACGAUAAGGUUCUGAUAAUAAAGUCCUUUCGAGUUACUUACCGUACCGUACCUACUACUUUCACCUAGGGAGUUUUAUGAUUCCUGUUUCCUAACCGAGUUCGAGUUUUCGAGUUCUGAGAAGUAAAAUGUAAAAUCACUAGGUUCUAGUGUAACUCAGAUAUCCUUUUCGGUUAUGAUAGUUCUUCCCUACUCCACAAUGAAUUACUUGGAGAACGAAGUACACGAAUCACUAUACGAAGUUUUGGGAGUUGAUGAAAAGGUGUAGGUGUUUACUGGAUUUGGAUUUCGGUUUUAGCCAGUGUGGCUAAGAAAGAUAGGCCGCGGUGGCUAAGGUUUUCAGUAUCGGUGACGGUGUUUGGGAUUCGUUUAGCCAGAGUGGCUCUACCCUAACAUUAGAGACACAAAAGGAAGUAUUGCAAAGCCAGAUUGGCUUCACUCGCUAGCCAGGGUG